GCAAAGAGAUACUAUUUAGCUAGAGACCGGUAGAUGUAAGGAGUACGCUCAAGGUAAUGGUAAAAUAUGUUAAUCUUGGGUGGACUAACAAUUGGCGAAGGCACCUUACAAGGACGGAUCUGACAGUGAGGGAUGAAGGCCAGGGGCGCAAAACGGAUUAGAUACCCGUGUAGUCCUGGCAGUAAACACUGCUCACUAAACAUCGGUCUCUCUUCGGGAGAAAUCGGUGCUGAAGCGAAGGCGCAGAGUGAGCUACCUGGGAAGUAUAGUCGCAAGAUCGAAACUUAAAGGAAUUGGCGGGGAGACACACAACGAGUGACGCGUGCGGUUCAAUUAGAUUCUACACCGUGAACCUCACCAGGAGCGACAGCAGAAUGAAGGUCAGUCUAAAGGGCUUACCUGACGCGCUGAGCGGAGAUGCAUGGCCGACAUCAGCCUGUGCUGUGAAGUGACCUGUUAAAUCAGGUAACAGGCGAGACCCGUGUGCAUAAUUACUACCGAAAGGAGAACUUUAUGCAGACUGCCGUGGUAACACGGAGGAAGGUGCGGGCUAUGUCAGGUGAGUACGUCCCUAACCCCCUGGGCUACACGCGCGCGGCAAUGGUAAACUCAACGAGAUGCGACUCCGAGAGGAGGAGCUAAUCUCUUAACGUUUAUCUCAGUACAGAUUGAGGGUUGCAACCCACCCUCAUGACGAUGGAAUUCGAAGUAAUCG
rnacentral:rRNA from 1 species